rnacentral:misc_RNA from 1 species
AUGCUUGACUCCUCUUUUUUCAUAAUAACUAAGACAAUUCCCAAAAGUCAGCCUAUGUCACUAUAUUAACCAAGGAUAUAGUGAUAAACGAUGACAAAAUAACCAAAGAAAUGACGCGAAAAGUUUAUUUAAUAAUAUUACAGAAAGCAUAGAAUAGCAAUCUCUCUUGAAAAGAGAACACUGAGGAACUUUUAUUACUUGAGAGAGAAAAAAAUACAAAAAGAAGACCUAACUGUACUAUCUUUAGGAUAAUAUCACAUAAAACUCAACAAUUAUAAUCAAAAAACAAACCUAAUAAAAGAAAAU